rnacentral:siRNA from 1 species
AAGGAAAACUGGAUGGAAAUAGU